GUGAGAAUCUGGCUUCAGGUCGGGGACAACCACUGGAAACGGUGGCUAAUACCGGAUAUGCCGAAAGGUGAAAGGCUUGCUGCCUGAAGAUGAGCUCGCGUCUGAUUAGCUAGUAGGUGUGGUAAARGCGCACCUAGGCGACGAUCAGUAGCUGGUCUGAGAGGAUGAUCAGCCACACUGGGACUGAGACACGGCCCAGACUCCUACGGGAGGCAGCAGUGGGGAAUUUUCCGCAAUGGGCGAAAGCCUGACGGAGCAAUACCGCGUGAGGGAGGAAGGCUCUUGGGUUGUAAACCUCUUUUCUCAGGGAAGAAAAAAAUGACGGUACCUGAGGAAUAAGCAUCGGCUAACUCCGUGCCAGCAGCCGCGGUAAUACGGAGGAUGCAAGCGUUAUCCGGAAUGAUUGGGCGUAAAGGGUCCGCAGGUGGCUAUGUAAGUCUGCUGUUAAAGAACUUAGCUUAACUARGUAAAAGCAGUGGAAACUACAAGGCUAGAGUGCGUUCGGGGUAGAGGGAAUUCCUGGUGUAGCGGUGAAAUGCGUAGAUAUCAGGAAGAACACCAGUGGCGAAGGCGCUCUACUAGGCCGCAACUGACACUGAGGGACGAAAGCUAGGGGAGCGAAUGGGAUUAGAUACCCCA
rnacentral:rRNA from 1 species